rnacentral:lncRNA from 1 species
UUGUAUAUGCAUCUUCAAUGGAUUGAUAAUUUUCUUUGCUUCGUAUGUGUUUUUUGGCAUAAAGUUAGGCUUCGAGAGCAAUUUGCCCAGUAGAGUAAGGAGAUAUUUGAAACUAUUAUCUGACUAGCCAAAUUUAGCCUCCAGGAUCAGAAGAUGAAGGAUGAAAUAAAAGACUGUCCACUCUUUCCCACAACCUUCAUAUAUACGGUCCUUUGCUGCCUUCUUGAGCAUCUCGAAAUUAUCUAACCCUUUUACACUCCCUAGCAACACUUCCGAUUCAAUGUGGCGCAACAUGUCCUCUAUAUCAACAUCACGUACCUCAUCCACCUGUGGUUCCACACGCGUAUUUGUUUGAUCACCAUUUUGAUCUCCAUAGUUAUAAUUAUUAUCCAUGAUAAUAUGAUCAUUUUCUUUUGCAUUAUCACCACCCACUUCAUUAUUGUCAGUGUCGAUGUCUAUGUUGUUGAAAGUUCCUCCAACCCAACCAUGGUGGGACCAAAUUG